rfam:Gavia stellata contig48014, whole genome shotgun sequence.
ACAAAAGCUUUUUUAAAAGCUACAAGUAAGAAGAACAACAAAGUA